AUAAAGACAUAAUCACGGCGGCCUCAUGCAGUAAUGCGUGGGUGCUCAAGUUGACUAUAUCGGUGGAAUCCUAUCGUUGGGUAUUAACCCAACGUAUGUUAGGAUAACACCGAGGGAAGUUAAUAGUUUAUUGCCAAAAAAACAAAUGUAAUCGGUCGAGUAUGUAGACCCAAAACUUGCCGGGUCGGCCUUUCUUGUUCCAGCGAUAUCUAAAAAACACUGUGACUGGAAUGGCAAAGAUAAUGACCCAAACAAGGACGAGAAAAAUGGUAAACAUAACGAUAAGAUUGUAGCAUAAACUAAUAACCCCGUAGAGACUAAACGUCAACCUUCCUUAAUUAAGGAAGAAGAUAUAGUCCAAUGCACAUAGUAAUAUGUGA
rnacentral:ncRNA from 1 species